UUAAUUGAAGAGUUUGAUCAUGGCUCAGAUUGAACGCUGGCGGCAGGCCUAACACAUGCAAGUCGAACGGUAACAGGGAGCAGCUUGCUGCUCUGCUGACGAGUGGCGGACGGGUGAGUAAUGUCUGGGAAACUGCCUGAUGGAGGGGGAUAACUACUGGAAACGGUAGCUAAUACCGCAUAACGUCUACGGACCAAAGUGGGGGACCUUCGGGCCUCAUGCCAUCAGAUGUGCCCAGAUGGGAUUAGCUAGUAGGUGGGGUAACGGCUCACCUAGGCGACGAUCCCUAGCUGGUCUGAGAGGAUGACCAGCCACACUGGAACUGAGACACGGUCCAGACUCCUACGGGAGGCAGCAGUGGGGAAUAUUGCACAAUGGUCGCAAGCC
rnacentral:rRNA from 1 species